rnacentral:lncRNA from 1 species
CAGACUCAUCAAUUUCUCUGCAUCAGAAGCAAGUCGCUGGAGAAUCUUCUUGUUCAUUUCUUGAUUUGCCUCAGACGAGUUCAUUGAUAACUCUAACUUGUCAAUACCCAACUCCUUCUCCACUUCUGACUCUGUAGGUGGAUGCUUGCCCCUCCAAUCCAGAUUCCUCAAUUGAUUAUUCGAGGUAGGCCCCUCUGUUGGAUGAUUUGCCCGUUUCUUAAAAUCCCUCAUGCUACGACUGAGGCUGCUGCCUUCUGCAGUUUACCCAACUCCUUCUCGACUUCUGACUCUGUAGGUGGAUGUUUGCCCCUCCAAUCCAAAUUCCUCAAUUGAUUGUUCGAGGUAGGCCCCUCUGUUGGAUGAUUUGUCCGUUUCUUGAAAUCCCUCAUGCUACGACUGAGGCUGCUGCCUUCUGCAGUUUCCCACAGCUCAAGCAUCUGAUCAUCCACUCUCUCUGCCACAGAAGUAGCUCUUCUAAUUCUUUCCGGUGAGCUAUCAGAGACAUGAUCAAGUGGUAUAUCUUUCAUUAACG